rnacentral:rRNA from 1 species
GACAGAGGAUGCAAGCGUUAUCCGGAAUGAUUGGGCGUAAAGCGUCUGUAGGUGGCUUUUUAAGUCCGCCGUCAAAUCCCAGGGCUCAACCCUGGACAGGCGGUGGAAACUACCAAGCUGGAGUACGGUAGGGGCAGAGGGAAUUUCCGGUGGAGCGGUGAAAUGCGUAGAGAGUACGGAAAGAACCACCGAACGGAGAAGCACUCUGCUGGGCCGAACACUGACACUGAGAGACGAAAGCUAGGGGAGCGAAUGGG